ACGUCAAGUCAUCAUGCCCCUUACAUCCUGGGCUACACACGUACUACAAUGCUACGGACAAAGGGCAGCAAGUUCGCGAGGACAAGCAAAUCCCAUAAACCGUGGCUCAGUUCAGAUCGUAGGCUGCAACUCGCCUACGUGAAGGAGGAAUCGCUAGUAAUCGCAGGUCAGCAUACUGCGGUGAAUACGUUCCCGGGCCUU
rnacentral:rRNA from 1 species